GGGGUCCGGAGCGCUCUAGUGUCAAAAGUGGCUAUUACACUCCGGAGUCCGGAGUCCUCUAGCGUCAAAAGUGGCUAUUGCACUCCGGAAAUUUAUGGCGACGAAUGGCAAAUCAAAUAACGACUGAUUCUGUGUUUUGACUCUCAUCACCUCGUUAAAACUUUUUGCCUCUUUCUUCGCAAUUGCCUCGUUCAAUUGGAUUCGCAAUUUCUCGUUAGUCAAUUGGUUUGAUUAACAUUUAAUAUUUAUGGUGUGCAUAAAGGAAGAGGGAAUGAUAGGAAAUAAAUCUCUGCUGUACUUGGUGAUUUCCAACAGGCCAUACAUUCUACAAUGACAUUCUGAUUGUGUGUGAUAAUGAAGAGGGAAUGAUUGCAAUUAAAUCUCUGCUGUACUUGGUGAUUUCCAGCAGGCCAUACACUCUACGAUGGCAUUCUGAUUGUAACCAGGUGUGUGUUAAUGAAGAGGGAAUGAUUGCAAUUAAAUCUCUGCUGUACUUGGUGAUUUCCAGCAGGCCAUACACUCUACGAUGGCAUUCUGAUUGUAACCAGGUGUGUGAUAAUGAAGAGGGAAUGAUUGCAAUUAAAUCUCUGCUGUACUUGGUGAUUUCCAGCAGGCCAUACACUCUACGAUGGCAUUCUGAUUGUAACCAGGUGUGUGAUAAUGAAGAGGGAAUGAUUGCAAUUAAAUCUCUGCUGUACUUGGUGAUUUCCAGCAGGCCAUACACUCUACGAUGGCAUUCUGAUUGUAACCAGGUGUGUUAAUGAAGAGGGAAUGAUAGGAAAUAAAUUUCUGCUGUACAUGGUGAUUCUCCAACAUUAUUGAUCCCAAAAUCCUCGACUUUCAUCCAGUCAUAAUGAUGUCAUUUACUAUGACUUUGGCUAGGCCAUGUAUUCUGCCAAUGAUCGUAUCAAAAGGAAACGACCAGGUCGCCAUGUCUUCUCGAUAGAAAACUCGUGAGGACACCGCUGUUAUUUGCACGCUGCUCAGUGUCUUGGUCGGUGUAUGCGCGGGAAAACGGACGAAUGGUGAUAAGCAACAUUUCUUUGUACAGACAAUUAUUGAUGCACAUUUUGUGAAACCAACCGUCGCAACCAUUCGUGUCACAUCCGAUAAACUCAAAUCCAUUUUUCUCCCAGCCUGUCCUGCGACAGGUACAAUACAAUAAUUCUGCUUCGACAGUCUCGUGAGUCCUUGUUGCACGACUUUCAACUGAUGGGAAUGGAGUUAGUUCGCCGGAAUCCAUACACUGAAUAAGGUGAUUGGAGGAGACUGGACAUACAACUUAGGACAUGCUCGUUUCUCCAUGGAUUGCCGGGACUGCUGUCAUACACCAGUACAUGUUCACGUUGAAUAAACCCUUUGGCAACUAAUACCCAGUGAUCCGAUCCGUCAUGAACGAUCUGCAACCAUUGAUCGCCCUGCGCUCGGGGGAAUUCAAGGCUGCCUCCAAUUGUACAGCAGAACAGACCACCUAUUUCUGGAUGUUGCUUUUUCAGGAUUGCCUGCGCCUUGUUGAUGUCGCCUGACAUGAGUUUGUUCGUCUUUGUUAAUACUUGCGGCUUGUCCAAGAAAAGAUAGGGUUGUUUACUCCUGUCCCGUCUAUUUCGGUUUUUUCGGAGGCAACCAUCAGUCGAAGACACAAGCUAUUAAAGGAAGUGAAACUUCGCUGGGUGUAGUUGUGAUCAAUGUGUAGUUGUGAUCAAUGAUGGACACGUCCACUUCAUCGACUGGUGGAACAUCAGCGGCUGUGGUGAUGCGAACGUCUGUUUUGUUUACAGGUGAAACUACGCUGGGUGUAGGUAAUUCCUGAAGCUGUGAUGACGAAUCUUGAUUAUAAUAAUCCUUCAUGUGUUCUUCUUCCUCAGCCAAAAUUAGCACUUCCUCCAUCUCUCUGCUCAUAAUUCCACCCAUCUAAACAAAAGCUUCACGUUCUUCUCAUCUGGAUCUGGAUCCACCACUGAAACAUCGUCACGCGUUGUCUUCGACUUCUUUUUGUAAGCAGUAAAAUAUCCUUUGUCCUGUUUUGGCCUGCCUCUUUUAACAGGGGCAACGGGAAGACGGAGCGAUGCCCAAGGUUGAGCAAAAACCUAUAAAGAUGUUUCAAUACGUUCCGCAACAGUCGGAGAAUCAACCAGUGAGUUGUUCGAAGGAUUCUCGGUCUCCUGCUUCUCGUCUUCCAUUACUCGAAGGAGUUUCCCCUCUUUCAUUAAUUUGUGAAUGUUAAGGAAGAAGUGCAAUUGGACUUCGAAGUCGGAGGCUGCUAGUCCACUCAUCGUGUCGGCCAUCCUACGGAAAACGUUAGUGGCCAUGAUAUAUUGGCUUUUCCCCGUUGCACGCAGCCGGGUCUUUUUCGGACGCUGAACUCCAGAUGGCGAUGAAACGCUUGCGGAAACGACCGCAUCAUUCUUACAUUCAUUUAACCAGUGAUUAGAAAAUGAUCCCACUGGAACUUCGGUGUUUUCUUUGAUGUGGAAGUUGAUAAUGUGGCGGCAAGGCAGUUGAAAAUCCAAGAAAAACUUGCACGUGCAGCCAGUGAGAUCUUGUUUCAAUUUGUACGUAGUGUAGCGUGAAACUAUGUGUUCUGCUUCGAGAUGGCCCCAAGCAAAAGGGGAGAUGGUGUCCGCAAACUUUUUGAUCAACGGAUGCUUUUCCUUCUUGGAGAAUUUUACCUCUCGUAUGCACUGUUUCAUUUUUCGGUCAGAAAGGCGUAUCAAAACGAUGUCUAUUAAAUUGCGGAGAACUUCUGACAAUCGCUUGGUUUUCUGGAGGACAUCCUUGAUAGUGUGGUGAAAUCUUAAAAUACGAUUGGUGGUAUUGUUACCAAACGUUGGAAGAUUUCGACGUCCAAGGUUACUCCAUUUGUCGGCUAUGUUGAACCAGUUAUUUUCGAAGUAUGCUGCAAUACUUCCUGGUCCGGAACCUAUGAAGUACGCUUUUGCUGUUUCAAAAUCAGCCUGCGUUUCAGCAUACAUAGCCGCACGAAAGUGUUUAAUAAUUUCGUGGAUUUUUUCUUUGUCUACGCGUUCGCCGUCCUUUGGUUUCUUUAUGUAGACGUCUACGGCCUUCAAUGCGUGAAACUGACAAAGGAUGUGAACCCCAUGAGGAAAGCAGUUCUCCAACGCGGCUAUCUCAGCGCAGUCUUUGUCGGAUAUGGUCACUUUUGUCAUGGAGACGUCGUUAUUCUGUAGGCAUUCAGAAAUCGCUUCCGUUGUCUCUUCUCUAAUGAAGAACAUAGCUACGGGUUGACCAUCGCCAUUAUUGUCUUCUAUCAGCAAAUGAUACAGCGCAAAUCCAGCUUGAUCAAUAUUCUGCACGAAAAUAGCGGUGACUUCUCCUUCCGGGUCGUGCAGCACUUUGACGACGUUGUUUGGAUCUUGUUGUAGACUAUCAAGAAAGCUAACUGAAUUGCUCCAAUCGUCUUCCAAAUUCCCUAAUGACAGAAAAAAGUUGUCCUUGAUUUGUUCAAGUCCUUGCUAAUGAGAUUGGAACCGAAUUUAUCUUGCAGAAUCUUGCGAAUUUUAGUCGGUUGAGCGCCGGCAGAAAGCGCACCGUUGGCGAAACUAAGGGCCUCGUCAUUCAUAUGCCUGUAAUAACGUGCAACAAGGUCGACAAGGUCAUUCCAGGAAAUAUAUAACAUGAAAUCCAAUCAUUUAAUCGAACAUACAACAAAACCUUAUUACAUCACACGGAAUGUAAAGUCUUGACAUGUUCCGCAGAAACAGGGUGGUCUUUAUGCUCCAACUCCAAGACCUUGAUCUCAAACUUUUCACUAACUGGAUUAAAAACAAAUCUAAUCUGCACUGGACAAUUGUUUGGCAUCACAUUUUGGUUCAGUCGUGAACCCUUUGAUCGUGAUUUGUGAGUACCAAAAUGAGGGCACAUGUAUUGAAUUCUUUUAAACUCAAACUUUUCGUCAAGUACGAUUUGAUUUCUUCGGUCAUUGUUGUAACUACUAAUUGACUCACAAUGACCACGACGCAAAUAUACAUUUUCUGUCUCUAA
rnacentral:lncRNA from 1 species